rnacentral:rRNA from 1 species
CCUACGGGAGGCUGCAGUGGGGAAUAUUGGACAAUGGGGGGAACCCUGAUCCAGCCAUGCCGCGUGUGUGAAGAAGGCCCUCGGGUUGUAAAGCACUUUCAGUGAGGAAGAACGCCUGGUGGUUAAUACCCAUCAGGAAAGACAUCACUCACAGAAGAAGCACCGGCUAACUCCGUGCCAGCAGCCGCGGUAAUACGGAGGGUGCGAGCGUUAAUCGGAAUUACUGGGCGUAAAGCGCGCGUAGGUGGCUUGAUAAGCCGGUUGUGAAAGCCCCGGGCUCAACCUGGGAACGGCAUCCGGAACUGUCAAGCUAGAGUGCAGGUGAGGAAGGUAGAAUUCCCGGUGUAGCGGUGAAAUGCGUAGAGAUCGGGAGGAAUACCAGUGGCGAAGGCGGCCUUCUGGACUGACACUGACACUGAGGUGCGAAAGCGUGGGUAGCAAACAGGAUUAGAUACCCUGGUAGUC